GUGACGUCUCCCGCGCAUGCGUGGUACCGGUCUCGCUUCCGGGUACUGGAAGAGCUAAACUCUUUGCGAAUGUUUUUUCAGCAUUAAAAACGGACAGAUUGUCGUGGACAAAUGGACUCCUGGAAAUUUACGAGACUUUAGUAACUACGCGAAGAGGAGUCUGACUGUAUGACGGUGAUGACGAGGAAAAAAUGGAAGUUGGAGUUGUCCUGUUGAGCACACACACCGGUUGAUCUGGAGGGACACCAAGAACCAUGAUUACCUGGAUCUGGCAACAUUCAGUCCUGCUGAUGCCCUGCUGUACGAUGACGCUCUCUCUGAAGAAGACACCCCACUAGUGGACUGUAAUAACGCCCCUCUCCCUCGAAUCCUCCCCUCCUCAUGGAUUGAAAACGAGCUCUGUGGUAGAAUCUCCCAUGCAUUUCCUGGAUUUUAGAAACAAGACACACAACACAAGCUCUCUUUUUGACAAGCUGUGAUUGGCUUUCCGUAGCCUAGUGUGUGUGACUGUGAUCUAGGCAUGCCGUUUGUGGUUUAAUGCUGACAUAUCUCCCAUUUCAUGGUAAAUGAGAGACACAGUGAAAAAGGGGGUUGUGUUUUGACUUCUUUUGUAUAUUUGGACAUGCUUCAAAUGUACAUGAAGCUGUACUAAUAUAAUAGUAUACUAAUAUUGUAUAAUACUUUAUACAAUAAAGUAUGUAGAAUUGUUUUCUCUAGUUAUCAGCUUAUAUCUGCAGAGGAACUUUACCAGUGUUUAUCAAUCGCAAGAUUUGCAGCAAUUUUGUUUUAAUUGGCGAAACAUAAGUUCUAUAAACAGUGUAUGUUGUAGAAUAGAGCAAUGCUUUCCAUAAUUAAAUACAAAGGCUUUAUGCUCCUGUUGUUGAAA